UACGGGGGGAGCAAGCGUUGUUCGGAUUUACUGGGCGUAAAGGGCGCGUAGGCGGCCACCGCAAGUCGGUUGUGAAAUCUCCGGGCUUAACCCGGAAAGGUCAAUCGAUACUGCGGGGCUAGAGUGCAGAAGGGGCAACUGGAAUUCUCGGUGUAGCGGUGAAAUGCGUAGAUAUCGGGAGGAACACCAGCGGCGAAGGCGGGUUGCUGGGCCGACACUGACGCUGAAGCGCGAAAGCUAGGGGAGCGAACGGG
rnacentral:rRNA from 1 species